CCUACGGGGGCAGCAGUGAGGAAUAUUGGUCAAUGGACGAGAGUCUGAACCAGCCAAGUAGCGUGAAGGAUGACUGCCCUAUGGGUUGUAAACUUCUUUUAUAUGGGAAUAAAAUGUUCCACGUGUGGGAUUUUGUAUGUACCAUAUGAAUAAGGAUCGGCUAACUCCGUGCCAGCAGCCGCGGUAAUACGGGGGAUCCGAGGGUUAUCCGGAUUUAUUGGGUUGAAAGGGGGCGCAGGCGGAAGAUCAAGUCAGCGGUAAAAUUGAGGGGCUCAACCUCUUCGAGCCGUUGAAACUGGUUGUCUUGAGUGAGCGAGAAGUAUGCGGAAUGCGUGGUGUAGCGGUGAAAUGCAUAGAUAUCACGCAGAACUCCGAUUGCGAAGGCAGCAUACCGGCGCUCAACUGACGCUGAUGCACGAAAGUGUGGGUAUCGAACAGGAUUAGAUACCCCUGUAGUC
rnacentral:rRNA from 1 species